rnacentral:lncRNA from 1 species
CUUAACGAUAACGCAAAUUUUAUUUACAAAUUUUAUUUCAACCAAAUAAUUUGUGGCGUAACAAAUAAUAUAUUAGGAAAUGUAUUAUUCGUACUGUAUUCAUGUACUAAAUGUAUUAUUUCGCAAUUCGGACGUUCAAUUUUCUACAAUGAUUUUACAUAAAAAACACAUAUAUAUAUUAUAUGAAUUUUUUCAAUGUCAAUACCUUCUUGGAUAGUCUUUUGUUUUAUUACAUGUCGUAAUCGAUUUGGCAUGUAUGUUAUAAUUUUUUGUAAAUAAUUUUGUACGAUACACUUACAUUCUUCUAAUAAUCUUUGUUUUAAUUCUUCCUUCAACGUUGUACGUAGGAGAUACAAGAAAUCACUAAAUUAACAGGUCACCAGCGAUUGGUUCGCGUCGUAGUUCGAACGUUCACAAAUCAGAAAAUAAAUUCGGUGCUUUAGAUAUGAUAAUAAAGUUUAUUGAAUCCAACAGAAUAACGGCUCAGAGUGUUAUGACAGACUGUGUACGAUUCAGAGUCUUGCAAUACAAUGUCGCGUGCUGAUUUUGGCAGCGUUUUUAUAUGUUAGGGUUUGGGCCCUCUGGAGGGGCUGCCGUCGGCUGCAGGUCAGAAGCGCCCAUGUGUCAUUUGGACACGGUUCUCUGAGCCUGCGGGAUGUUUCUGUUUAGACACAGGGCCAUCCAAUUGUCAUUUUAUGACCCUAUAACGAGUACAACAUGUUUACAACUUCAAUCUCCCAAGUGAACUACAUGAAAUUACUAUAUAUUACGAGCCGGUUCGCCAAUUUUUGAACGUAAUUUUUGAACUGGUUACCGUGAACGGAAUGCAGACUUGCUCUUCACAUGCAGCCUCUUUGUUCAUAAGAUUUGAGCUUCCGAUUGAAUAUGGUUUUUACCGUACAAAGUCAAUACGUAUUUUAAGGAGUAACCUGGUGGAAAUAUCGAGGAGAAGAGGAAAGAAAAAGUAAAGAAAGGAAAAUAUGGAAUAUAUGGGGUACUUAACCUAACUUGAUCGUCUUAAGUAUCUCGGUUAUUCUUUAUGUUGGAGAAAAAUAUCAGAGGAAGAGAACAUUCGGUUCGAAAAUGCAAAUGUGAUGAUAGACAAAAAGAUUUUUCAAGGUCAACAUAUUGCACACCAUUGAAUUUAGUUUCUUAUGAGCUAUAGUUAUAAUGAAAAUAUGUACCUUGAAAUCUCGAAAAAAGUGACCUUGAAAAAUUUUUUUUCUCCCUUCGAACCGAAUAUUCUCUCUCCUUGAUACUUUCUCUUAUCAUAAGAAAUAAGAGAGAUAUUUAAAAUGGUCAAGUUAAGUGAAAUGCCCUGUGCAAUAGAAGAUCUAAUGCAUCCAUGUGCAAUAAUAUAUCGUACUAGAUUUAUGUUAUGUAAAUUUAUGUUUCCAUCGUUAUGGUAAUCUAAUUGUAAAUAGUUUAUGUAACAUUUUGUUGCCAUCUAUAACCGUGACUUUUUCGUUUAUGCUUUGUACCAGUAAUAUUUCCAAAAUAUGGUGUUUCUUAUGCCAAAACACAAUCUUCUGUUAAGUUCGUAGUAGGAUUAUAUCACACGGUUUUUCAUAAUGUAAUAAAUUAAAAAUCAGAAUCCAUUGAUAACGAACGUCUUAAAUAUCAAAUAAACAAUACUAUCAAAGCAUUGUUAAUAACGUUCUGUGAUAUAUUUAUAAAGAUUGCUAAUCUUUUGAUGGGACGUUUA